AACGAACGCUGGCGGCAUGCCUAACACAUGCAAGUCGAACGAGACCUUCGGGUCUAGUGGCGCACGGGUGCGUAACGCGUGGGAACCUGCCCUUAGGUUCGGAAUAACUCCCCGAAAGGGGUGCUAAUACCGGAUAAUGUCUUCGGACCAAAGAUUUAUCGCCUUUGGAUGGGCCCGUGUUGGAUUAGCUAGUUGGUAGGGUAAAAGCCUACCAAGGCGACGAUCCAUAGCUGGUCUGAGAGGAUGAUCAGCCACACUGGGACUGAGACACGGCCCAGACUCCUACGGGAGGCAGCAGUGGGGAAUAUUGGACAAUGGGCGAAAGCCUGAUCCAGCAAUGCCGCGUGAGUGAUGAAGGCCUUAGGGUUGUAAAGCUCUUUUACCCGGGAUGAUAAUGACAGGACCGGGAGAAGAAGCUCCGGCUAACUCCGU
rnacentral:rRNA from 1 species